rnacentral:rRNA from 1 species
GACGAACGCUGGCGGCGUGCUUAACACAUGCAAGUCGAACGGUGACGAUCAAGCUUGCUUGGUCUGAUCAGUGGCGAACGGGUGAGUAACACGUGAGUAACCUGCCCCAGACUCUGGGAUAACCCCGGGAAACCGGAGCUAAUACCGGAUACGACACGCCCCUGCAUGGGGACCGUGUGGAAAGUUUUUCGGUCUGGGAUGGACUCGCGGCCUAUCAGCUUGUUGGUGAGGUAAUGGCUCACCAAGGCGACGACGGGUAGCCGGCCUGAGAGGGCGACCGGCCACACUGGGACUGAGACACGGCCCAGACUCCUACGGGAGGCAGC